GACUUGAUUGAGUGGCUGACUAGCGUGCAUGUAAAAAGUUUGAAAAGCACAUGUGUUUUGUCUUUCUGUAUCUCAUAGAGAACUAAGCGGCCGUCAGCUGAGAUUCCCUCUGACAGUCUGUCUCUUCUCUUAUGGACCCGCUUUUCACUCCCUAGUGCGCCCCUUUAUAACACCUGCCCUAUAUACUCUCUCUCUCUCUCUCUCUCUCUCACACACACACACACUUUCCAUCUCUCUCUCUCUGCGGCUGGCUGGCUAGCCGGAGAUCGAGUCAAUCCUCAUUGUUUGACCAUGGCUUCCAUGAUCGAAUCUGCUUGGACGGUAGCACCUCUCUUCUUUUUUACUGCAAUUUCAAUCUGAUAAUCAGUGCUAACAAUGUACUAGCCCUAAAUUGUACUUGUUCCGCUUUUCGUUUAACCGCAUUUUGAUAUGGAUCUAACUAAUGCGCCAGUUUUGAGAAUCUGUCUGUUUGUGCCCGCGGAUUUGCAUUUGUUUGCUGCAUGAGUGGCACAACAUUGUUUCUAUCGUUAAUCUUCAUUUCUUCAUGCAUGAUUUGGUUGUUCGGUUGUUGGACUGAAGCACCAAUUGUUCUCUGCAUUUCUCUAUUUCUUAGUAAAGUUUUUGAUUUUACUGCAGUUGAUUGUUGAAGAUAUAGCUGCAAUUUACAAAUGUGAUCGAGAUUUUGUUGACUUAUAGGCGUUUUCGUAUAGGCAAUGCAACUUUAGGAGAGAGUUAACAAGACUAAUUUGCAGUAGGAGAUAAUAAUGAACACAUGCUGGACUAGUAGCACACAUAUUCAACAACUGAAUAUUUUGCAGUGAGUGAGCGCUAUAGAGCACACAAAGAUAUCUAUCAGUACCCAAUUUGAAGCAGUUGGAGCUUAAACACCGA
rnacentral:lncRNA from 1 species